UGUAAAUCUUAUUCCGGCCAGUGAAAAUUCAAACAAAACUAAAGUUCAUUUUUACGAACCCCUGGAUCCUUCCUAAAUACGAAGUUUUAUAUCUAACUAUUUCUGUAAGGGAUCAUGAGCAAAGGAUUCUCAUACUACACUUGACAUUUUUCAAUCGAAAAUGUAUAAAUAUAAAAAAGAAGAUGGUAUGAUUGCCAAUGAGACAGUUCACCACAAGAGACCAAAAUGACACGGAAAUUAACGACUAUAGGUCAUCGCACGGCCUUCAACAAUGAGCAAAGCCCAUAUUGCAUAGUCAGCUAUAAAAGGCCCCAAAAUGACCAUGUAAAACAAUUCAAACGA
rnacentral:lncRNA from 1 species